rnacentral:rRNA from 1 species
UUCGGGACAACUCUGGGAAACUGGAGCUAAUACCGGAUACGCCCUUUUGGGGAAAGGUUUACUGCCGAAGGAUCGGCCCGCGUCUGAUUAGCUAGUUGGUGGGGUAACGGCCUACCAAGGCGACGAUCAGUAGCUGGUCUGAGAGGAUGAUCAGCCACACUGGGACUGAGACACGGCCCAGACUCCUACGGGAGGCAGCAGUGGGGAAUAUUGGACAAUGGGCGCAAGCCUGAUCCAGCCAUGCCGCGUGAGUGAUGAAGGCCUUAGGGUUGUAAAGCUCUUUUAUCCGGGACGAUAAUGACGGUACCGGAGGAAUAAGCCCCGGCUAACUUCGUGCCAGCAGCCGCGGUAAUACGAAGGGGGCUAGCGUUGCUCGGAAUCACUGGGCGUAAAGGGCGCGUAGGCGGCGUUUUAAGUCGGGGGUGAAAGCCUGUGGCUCAACCACAGAAUGGCCUUCGAUACUGGGACGCUUGAGUCUGGUAGAGGUUGGUGGAACUGCGAGUGUAGAGGUGAAAUUCGUAGA